GCCAAUCGGGCAGGACCCCAACGGAGUCGUCUACAUUGGAUGGCACCAAAGAAAACAACGGGAAGUGGCCAUAAUUAUAAUUCAACAUCAGAAGAAGCAACAGGAGAUCGAAAAAGAAGUCGGAAUCCUUCAAAUCGUAUCUGGCCACCG